rnacentral:rRNA from 1 species
AGCUCCAAUAGCGUAUAUUAAAGUUGCUGCAGUUAAAAAGCUCGUAGUUGCAUUUCCGAGGCAAGGGAUUAGUCCGACCUUUGGUGGGUAUUUAAUCCUCUUGCCUCGUCCUUGAGUGGUGCUUCUUGGUAUUAAGUUAUCGAGGAGAUAGCCGCUCAUCGUUUACUGUGAGAAAAUUAGAGUGUUCAAAGCAGGCUUAUGCCGUUGAAUAUAUUAGCAUGGAAUAAUAAGAUAGGUCCUCGGUACUAUUUUGUUGGUUUGAGAUCCAAGGUAAUGAUGAAUAGGGACAGUUGGGGGUAUUCGUAUUCAGUUGUCAGAGGUGAAAUUCUUAGAUUUACGGAAGACGAACUACUGCGAAAGCAUUUACCAAGGAUGUUUUCA